rnacentral:rRNA from 1 species
GAUGAACGCUGGCGGCGUGCCUAAUACAUGCAAGUCGAGCGAACAGACGAGGAGCUUGCUCCUCUGACGUUAGCGGCGGACGGGUGAGUAACACGUGGAUAACCUACCUAUAAGACUGGGAUAACUUCGGGAAACCGGAGCUAAUACCGGAUAAUAUAUUGAACCGCAUGGUUCAAUAGUGAAAGACGGUUUUGCUGUCACUUAUAGAUGGAUCCGCGCCGCAUUAGCUAGUUGGUAAGGUAACGGCUUACCAAGGCUACGAUGCGUAGGCGACCUGAGAGGGUGAUCGGCCCCACUGGAACUGAGACACGGUCCAGACUCCUACGGGAGGCAGCAGUAGGGAAUCUUCCGCAAUGGGCGAAAGCCUGACGGAGCAACGCCGCGUGAGUGAUGAAGGUCUUCGGAUCGUAAAACUCUGUUAUUAGGGAAGAACAAAUGUGUAAGUAACUAUGCACGUCUUGACGGUACCUAAUCAGAAAGCCACGGCUAACUACGUG